rnacentral:rRNA from 1 species
GGCGGACGGGUGAGUAAUGUCUGGGAAACUGCCUGAUGGAGGGGGAUAACUACUGGAAACGGUAGCUAAUACCGCAUGACCUCGAAAGAGCAAAGUGGGGGAUCUUCGGACCUCACGCCAUCGGAUGUGCCCAGAUGGGAUUAGCUAGUAGGUGAGGUAAUGGCUCACCUAGGCGACGAUCCCUAGCUGGUCUGAGAGGAUGACCAGCCACACUUGGAACUGAGACACGGUCCANACUCCUACGGGAGGCAGCAGUGGGGAAUAUUGCACAAUGGGCGCAAGCCUGAUGCAGCCAUGCCGGGUGUGUGAAGAAGGCCUUAGGGUUGUAAAGCACUUUUCAGCGAGGAGGAAGGCAUCAUACUUAAUACGUGUGGUGAUUGACGUUACUCGCAGAAGAAGCACCGGCUAACUCCGUGCCAACAGCCGGGGUAAUACGGAGGGUGCAAGCGUUUAAUCGGAAUUACUGGGCGUAAGCCGCACGCAGGCGGUUUGUUAA